ACGCGCACCUAGCGAACUUUCUAUUGGUUGUUUGCUCGAGUCAUUUGUUAAGCGGCUCACGAGCGAACUCUCUGUAAUGUCUCCGCUCAAGCGAUUUGAAUAGUGUGCUCGAGCGGUCUGAGCCAGACUCCAAAAAAACUCAACACCAUUGCCAUGACCAUUUGAAAGUUUCUCGCAGGAAAACAUCAAGCCUCUACUUUUAAGCAAGCAACCUAUAAGUAAUGUUCUGAAAACCGGUUCGAGAUGGUUUGUUCUUUUUAGUCACUCUCUUCUCCUUUUGUCUCAUCCUUUCUUCUCAACUUCAUUUGCCACCAUUCUUGGAACGUUCUCAGAGGCUGAGAGCAAUCCCCUAUAAUAAUCAUGUAUGCAAAAAACGCAUGGAGAAAAUGGCCCUCUUGCACUCAAUAUUCCUAUGACAUCCUUAGAUGGCACAAAUUCGACUGCCAUUAACAUUGCCGCACCACCAAACUGGUCAAUGGUGGCUUUGGUGCUACCAUGUAUAAUAGACGGCCCAUUGAUGGAAGGGACAGAGCCAACUUCAAAGCUAGUGGGAGAGCUCAGGGGAUGUAUGUUUCGGCUUCUCAACAUAACCCUGGAUUCCUUUUGGUGAUGAAUUCCGCUAUCCUAGGAGACAGGGAAACACCAAUUGUCGGAGGCAGUGGAGUUUUCCGAUUUGUUCGGUUUGGCAACGGCAGUUUCAGUCCAAAAAUGGAGACACUGGUAUUCAUAGUGCGGUAUUCAUUGAAAUUCCCCUUUCUUGUUUCCUUGCUCCGAAUCUUGUCUCGCUUGAGGCGUGCUUUCUUAUUUUGUUUUCAUCGCGUGUUUUCUUCUAUUAGAUAGUACUGUAAUUUCUCCAGUACGAGAAUGGGAUAAAACCCACGUAACAAAAUUAUGUCCUUUUAUUCUUAAAAUCAAGCACCUUCUGAGGUUCUCAAGAAAUUGAAAGUGCAUGCUUGUUUAAGGUCUAAAUUUAGUAUUUCCAUGGAUUACAAAUAUCUUCAGAGCAUGGUUUCUGAUAAAUAUAUAAAAAAUCAACAUAUAUAUAACAAUCAAAACAAAAAUGAAUGGAUAAGUAUGAAAGAUUGAUGGAAAAGUUAAUUUAUUUUUUUACAAUCUUGUCUAUUCAUUUUUCAACGAGAUGGUGAAUUUUUAACAAAAUGUAAGCCAAACCCAA